rnacentral:rRNA from 1 species
GAGGAGGAAAGGCUACGGCGCUCUGGGAGGGGCUUGCGGCCCAUCAGCUAGUUGGUAGGGUAAAGGCCUACCAAGGCGAAGACGGGUAGGGGGUGUGAGAGCACGGCCCCCCACAAUGGGACUGAAACACGGCCCAUACUCCUACGGGAGGCAGCAGCAGGGAAUAUUGCCCAAUGGACGGAAGUCUGAGGCAGCGACGCCGCGUGAGUGAAGAAGGCCUUCGGGUCGUAAAGCUCUUUUGUAGGGGAAGAGGAAGGACGGUACCCUGAGAAAAAGCGUCGGCUAACUACGUGCCAGCAGCCGCGGUAAGACGUAGGACGCGAGCGUUAUCCGGAAUUACUGGGCGUAAAGGGCCAGUAGGCGGUUUGGUAAGUUGUGCGUGAAAGCCUCGUGCUCAACGCGAGGAAGCCGGACAAUACUGUCAAGCUAGAGGGCAUCAGAGGGGAGUGGAAUUCCCGGAGUAGCGGUAAAAUGCGCAGAUAUCGGGAGGAACACCGAUGGCGAAGGCAGCUCCCUGGGGUGUACCUGACGCUGAGGGGCGAAAGCUAGGGGAGCGAACAGGAUUAGAGACCCUGGUAGUCCUAGCUGUAAACGCUGGGUGCUAGGUGUGGGGCGUAGAAGCUCUGUGCCGCAGCAAACGCGAUAAGCAUCCCGCCUGGGAAUUACGGUCGCAAGGCUAAAACUCAAACGAAUUGACGGGGCCCCGCACAAGCAGCGGAGCGUGUGGUUCAAUUCGAUGCUACACGAAGAACCUUACCUGGGUUUGACAUGUACGUGGUAGAGAAGCGAAAGCGGAUUGACCCUUCGGGGAGCGUACACAGGUGCUGCAUGGCUGUCGUCAGCUCGUGCCGUGAGGUGUCGGGUUAAGUCCAGUAACGAGCGCAACCCUUGCCCUUACUUACAAGUGUGUAGGGGGACUGCCGGCGGGAAGCCGGAGGAAGGUGGGGACGACGUCAACUCAGCAUGGCCCAUAUGUCC